UUUUUUUUUUUUUUUUUUUUUUUUUUUUUUUUGUUAAUGUUUCCAAAGAAAUGCAAGCUUCCCUUCUUCUCUAGGGAAAAAGUACUCAUUGCUCUUCUCUGCACUAGACAUUUCUAAUUUGUUCUGUCUGUCAGAACGGGACUAUGAGAGGUUUUGGUGCAAAUCCAUUAUCUCUGGCAAUGCAUAACGUAUAGUAGGAACUGAAAAAGACCGUGGCAAUGGAUGAAGAACAAUAGAGCUUCAGUUCUUCAGCAACAAAAGCGUUGGGGAAAUUGGUUGAAUUUCAGAGCACGUCCUCCUCAGCAGAGAGGCUGGACUAGACCUUGGCCAAACCCCCAAAAUCUUGCAGAACCUCACAUACAACAGUUCACUUUCUACUCCAGGGUGUGGGCAAAAGUGUGGAAAAAGAAAAAAAAAAUGGCAAACCCAAGCCAACUUUCUCCAUUUCUCCCCCGUUUUCAUGGAUGGAAGAUUUUAAACUAUUUUAGAGUCGUUGGAGCAAGAACAACACCAUGGAUCUAAGGGAUACUUUUAAAUAGAGAUGGAGAGGGGAAACACUUGAAUUUCUGGAGACCUGAAAGAGCUUUUUCUGCUCCUAGGGGCCUUGGCUGUGGGGAUCUUUGUUUGCCACCAGAGGCUCAGCUCACCUCCCUACAUGUGGGGUAAAAAUCACUCCCUGAUAAAGGCGAAGAUAUAGUGUGGCUACUGACCCAUCUUCCUGAGGAGAAUGGCUAAGAUGUCUUUGAAAUUAUUCCUGGAAUUCGACCAGCAUGAGAUCUCUACCAAACUGAGGAAUGUUCCUCCUACAUGUUGCUAGGAGACAAUAACGACUGGAUACUUAAGAGAGACAGACAAAAGAAGCUGUCAGAGCUCAGACCUGAGAUUUGGACUGGGAAAAUGGGAUUGAGUGCAGUCUCUUGCGCUCUCAGCUUUCAGAGGGGAGAGAGGCCGCAGUCGGUUGCUGUGAGGAGAAUUCGUCACCACUGCAGGGUUCCGUCCCCUGCUGCCUUCUACCACGAGUGGAGCUCUGCUCAUAAGAGCAGCUUUUGUACUGGAACCUUAUUAACAGCCUGCCUGUUAUAUGUAGUGGAGAUAAUUCAUGCUAUAGAAAUAGAUAUAUGUAUGUAUAAAAUAUUAGUAAAGUCUAAACCUAUGUUUGUGAAACCACCCUGUCCAGGAACAGAGUCCUAUUCACAUAAUAACUGAUUCCCGGACAGAGUUGAGAUAAAAUCAAACCCUGUUAUCGUAUGAACAGAGUAGCCCUGAGUCUGCAAUUGUCCUGGUCGGGACUAGAGAUAUUCACAAGGUAACCAGUUCCCGGACAAGCUCUGGGACUAUACCAGACCCAUUAUCAGAUGUAGGAGACAGGCUGGAGUCUUCAGAGGGGAUUUCCUCUGCACCUGGAAGAUAUCAUCUGGAAUUUCCUGGGUGAUGAUCAAUGGGACAUCUCAGGAAGCCCACGAGAUCAUGCAUCAUCCUGGAUUUGAUGGAAUCUCUGCUACUCAAGAGAUGGCAUCAUCUACUACAUGUGAAUAGCUCUUCCUCUUGGGCAUUCAUCAAGGCUUUGGACACUCUCUUUGUGUGUUUCUACACAUGUAUGGAUCCAACUUUACAUGCAAAGAGAGACAAAGAAUUAUGUGGUCAUCUCUGCCUCAGGCAGAAUAAACUGUAUAUAAGCAGGCUGCUGGAAGCACUUGGGGUGAACCUUCAGGGGAGCACUGUCUCUCUGUCAGCAGGAACCCAAGGUCACCCAGCGGCUGCACCCAGGGCUGACACUGACU